AUGAAUUACUUGAUUUCUGUGUAUAUAUAUUUUACUUUGCAGUAUGAUUUUCGAUUAAUUCGUUACUUUGAGGUGUCCAGUUGAAAAUUAUGAUAUUGCUGUUAGGUAGGCUACAAGUAUUACUUCAUUGCAUAAAAUUGGUCACCUCUUGAUCCAGAUGAACAAUCCAAGAUUUUGCCAAGCGAUAAAGACUUGGUGAGGCAAAACAUUUUUCUUUCUAUAGCGAGUUCCUCCAUUGUUGAGGGCAUAUUUGGGUGAGUGUCUCAAUAUAAUAAUACAUGCUGAUUUACGGAACAAUGGUCGGUUCUUAUGCACUGGGUGACAUAUAAUUUGCAAGAUCAGCGACAAAUAUAUGGAUCACUUUUUGUGCUUAGAAUAA
rnacentral:lncRNA from 1 species